CAGAAAAUGAAAGUGUUUUCUGCCCUUUUCCCUACACUAAGGGAUUAUUGAGAUAAUGACCUAAUAGUCUGGGUUGUGUAUAUGUCAGAAAAACUUCAUUUUAUUAAUAAGUGAUACUACAGAUACUGCCCAUUUAUUAUAUUGAUAGCAGCUGUGGAUAUGAGAAGAGUGGACCUAUAUAUGUCCAUAUAUAGGUAUAACCAAUAUAUAUGUAUAACAUAUAUAUGUCCAUAUAUAUGUAUAACCAAACCACAGGUGUUUUUUUGGAAGUCAUAUUAUACAGGGAGUUGACAGAGGUGUGAGCUGGACUUUAAGAAGCUGCACAUAAGAUGCUAGUAUGAUCAAGCUGGAAUGGACUUAGACAAUUUGAAACAACUUUUCUCAGUUUUCAGAUGAGGAAACUGACGGGUACCAAGCUUAAAUGACUUGACGAAGCUCAUAGAAGAUUAGCAGGUAGUAGAAUAAUGACUGCUGACUCCUAAUUCAGUGGAUCUUCCCUGGCCACCGUUUUGUAUUGAGCUGCAAUGCUUCCUUGACUGUUCUCCAUGCCAGAUUCUUAUCAAUGAUCUUUCACCUAAGAAACAGCAAAGAUUCUGGCAAGCACACGAUCUAGAGAUACAUCUUAUUGCGAUUUUUCACAAAAAUCAAAAGAAGAAAGAAGGCUUAGCUGGUGUUUAAUUAUUGUUAUUUUUUUCAAUAGGGAAAUCUGUACACAAUGAUUUAUCUCCAGUGAUUUGCCAUUGAUCAAUUUUUUUCUCAUUUCAUUUUCUAUUUUUUUGUUUUUUGUUUUUCUUUAUUUUUUAUUUUUUUCUCCUUUUUCUUUUUUUAAAUUUUCUGUUUAUCACAAAUGAUCAUGUAAUUAUAUGUUAAUACUAUGUAACCCCAGUGUUUUCAACUGUUUGUGAUUCAAUGUUACCCAGUUUUCUUUUCUUAAUUUUAAAUAAAUUUGAAAAAUUAUCUUAGAGUGUUUUGAGCCUGUGUUGGUACAUUUAGUUCUAGUUCAUUGUGGUAAAUCCACUUCAGUUUCUAAGUUUCCACCCUUUAGUAAAGACAUAUUUCUAAAUUUGGUUUAUAUCCUCAGUUACAAAAGAUUCUAACUGCUAGUUUUGUGACAGCAAUCACACAUACCAUCAAGGGAUGGGGCAGGCAGUUUUGGAAUGUGCUGAUGCUAGCAUUUUUAUAAGCCUAUGGCUUUUAUAGUCUAAAUUGUUCUUAUUUCUAUUAAUGCUUCAAUUUUUGACAAACACACAACCAUAGAAACAAAUAAUAAAUUUGUUUUUUGGGAAUUAUCCAGGAUUCUUGGUUAAGUGGGGAAUUUAGGCUUUGACAGCAUAAAGGAUCACGGAUAAGUAUUUUUCACGGUGGCUCUAAUUAUAAUGCUGAGCAUGUGGCAGGCACAGAAAUAUUUACUCAUUGACUGAAUAUAGCACAUCGUAAUGUUGAUUUUUUUCCAACAUAAUUUUAGAGCUAGGCAUAUUGUAUUCUAUUACACUAGACUAUAUAUCAUUCUUAAAUAGAACCAGCCUUGCUAGAUAACACAUGUUGGAGGAGAGGCCCUUCUUCUUAGCCCUCAGUGUUUCCAUCUAUGGGGAAGAAGUUCCACCAUACUAACAUUACUAUCGUCUCUCCACCUGCUCACUCACUUCUCCCCAAGGGAGGGGUGUUCGAUAUGGUUUCUGAGCUUGGAAAGAAAACUCAGGCAUGUGUAACAUGGUUCCUUCAGUCCCAUGACCCACUGUCCACAAAUGGGCUGCUCACAGAGUGCAUGCCUUCACCCUUGUUCCUGGCCAUGCAGGAAAUUGUAUGAAACAGUCCUAGCUGAAGCCUGAGAUUUUCCUGCAUUGCCUAGUCCUGGUGGGUAUCUGUCUACUCCUGGAGUUUGGAUUGGAAAGUCCACAUGCCUGAAGGUAUAAACCUAUUCUACAAAGGGGUGUUUUCUAGAAUGAAGGUAAUAUUUUUAUCUUACAUUUGCAGAAAGAGACAGAACAAUGUUAUAGGACUGUAUUGUCUGCUAGACCAUUUAUUCAAAGUGGGAGGAUGAUGUUCUAAAAGCCAAUGAUAAAGCUCAUGGCAAUGCAGGGUAUAUCUGAUGGCAUGGAAUGCUUUAGGAUGGCCAAGAUUGCCCAUCAAAUGCCAAGUCACCGAAGGUACUCAUUUAUUCUAAAAAUAUCCACUAAGCAACCCUUUCUAAUAUGUGUUGUUCUAGGUUCUGGGAAAUAAGAAAUCAUUAGAAAAAGAUUUCUGCCUUCUAGAAGUACACAGUCUAAUGGUGAGAUAGGCAGUUAUUAAUGGCUCUCCUACUAGGAGCCUGACAUCAUGGUGAGCAUCGAGAAAGGAAUAACCUAAGCUGAAGACACGCCUUUUCAGGAGGCCAAGUUCCACGUUCUGUGCAUGCUUUUGGCGAAAGUCAGGCCAGGCACUACUCUGUCCCAACAAUAAGCCCUGUACAUUGGGAAAGGUGCCGAGACAUGAACUUUGGUCUUCUCUGCAAUCCAUCUGGAGCAUUCACUGACAACAUCGACUUUGAAGUUGCACUGACCUGGCCAGCCCUGCCACUUACCAGGUUGGCUCUGUAUGGCUAAGCGUUUUCUCCUAAAAUCCCUUGAAAACUGUGAGAAGACCAUAAGAAGAUCAUAUCUUUAAUUCUAUUUCACAAGUCACACAAUAUUCCAAUCAAAUACAGAUGGUUGAGAAAAGUCAUCCAUCUUCCCUCCCCACCCUCCCACAGCCCCUCAACCACUGCCCUGAAACUUAUAUGCUGUUAUCCGCAGCUCCAUCUGGAGCAUCACAGCUACUGUCAACCCUGACGCUCUUUCUGAAAAAACACCGGAUGGACAUCAGAACUAUUUCUUUAAGGAUGUUACUGAGCCACACAGGAAAACUUGCCUUAUGAUUUUGAAUGCACGGAUCUGAUUUGACUAAACAUGAUAACUAGAGAAUCACCCAAUCUACUCCCAUUUUCAACUCUAAAUCAUCAGAGUGUCUCAAAUCCAAAGCACACACAGACCAGCCUGGCCAACACGGUGAAACUCCACCCCUACUAAAAGUAUAAAAAUUAUCCAGGUGUGGUGGCGGGCGCCUGUAAUCCAAGCUACUUGGGAGUCUGGAGGCAGGAGAAUCCCUUGAACCUGGGAGAUGGAGGUUGCAGUGAGCAGAGAUCACACCACCGCACUCUAGCCUGGGCCACAAAUCAACAACAACAACAACAACAAAAAACAAAGCGCACACAGAGACUGAGGUCCUCUUUGGCAUUGAGAAGAUGGCUAUGCAAGUCCCAACUAGCAAGUGCAAACUUCCCAGCUUCACUUCUGCCAGUGUCCCUUCACCCCUUCUCAACCCCACUGGGAGGCAGGAGGGUGCUUGACAAUAACAGCCUUGGCAUCACUCUGCCAGGGUGUAAUAGGAACUGUUACAAUUCUGAGAUUCUGUGUAAGCACUGGCCUUUCUGCCUAGAAUGCCUUCUCCUCUCUUUUUUAACUGCAUGCUCCUAUUUAUCUUUCAAAGCCCGGAAAAAAUAACACUGCACACGGGAAAUGCUCCCUUCCUACUGCAGUCAUUUAGAUGACUCUAUGCCAUUCCAUUCAUUUCUCUUUCCUACCACAGAAGUGCUUUGAGAUUUUGGAGUCAGACUGCUUGAACUUGAAUCCUGGCCCUCUCAUCAGAGACUUGACUUAUUUUAGGCAAGUUAUAUAACCAAUUUUACCUCAGUUCCUUACCCAUAAAAUGGGUCUAAUGAGAGUACCUACCACACAGAAUUUUGAUGAAAACUGAAUGAGAUGAAGGCCUUUAAGGCAGUGGUCCCCAACCCUGGGGACACAGACAGGUACCAUUUUGUGGCCUGUUAGGAACUGGGCCACACAGCAGGAGGUGAGCAGUGGGUGAGUGAGAUCAGCGUUAUUUACAGCUGCUCCCCAUUGCUCACCUUACUGCCUGAGCUCCACCUCCUGUCAGAUCAGCAGUGGCAUUAAAUUCUCAUAGCAGCACAAACCCUGUCAUGAACUGCACAUGCGAGGGAUCUAGGUUGUGCGCUCCUUAUGAGAAUCUAAUGCCUAAUGACCUGUCACCGUCUCCCAUCACCCCUAGAUGGGAGUGUCUAGUUGCAGGAAACAAGCUCAGGGCUUCCACUGAUUCUACAUUAUGGUGAGUUGUAUAAUUAUUUCAUUAUAUAAUACAAUGUAAUAAUAAUAGAAACACAGUGCACAACAAAUGUAAUGUGCUUGAAUCAUCCCCAAACCAUCCCAGUCCACGGUCUUCCACAUUUUGUCUUUUCACAAAAUUGUCUUCCACAAAACUGGUCCCUGGUGCCAAAAAGGCUUGGGACCACUGCUUUAAAGCCUUUGCAUAGUGCUUAGAAUUGAGGGGGAAAAAAAAAACAAAAACAAUGUAGCUAGUUGCUACAAUCACUAUAUUGGUGAGUUUCAAAAGGAAAAGAAUUCUGUCCCAUUUAUGCUUGAGCCUUGAGUUGCUAACCAAGCCUGACACAAAAUUACUGUUGAAGGGAUGUGUGAGUCCUAAUUGAAAUGAGGCCUCUUAAGGGAAUUGUGGACCAAACCCCAAGCAGGCAGAAAGCCGUAUCUUAAUUAUUGCAAGUAUUUCAGGCAAGGUGUGGAUGGCCAUUUGAAUUCAAGCAGACUAGGACCUGGGAUGAGAAAGAAGGUGUGUACGUGACUUGAUCUUUGAACUUUAGCUCACCAUCUGGAAGAAGGCUGAGUAUUCUCUGCACUCACAUAGUAGCUAAUGCCUACUCCCCAGCCACCCACAAUUCUUUCUGUAGGAAGGCUCGCUAGAAUACUUUGUGAUAUUGGAUAUUAGUUCCAUAUUCUACUGUGUAUCUUAGUUCAACCAAAUUGUAAUCAUCUGAUAUUUAUUUCUUUUAAUAUAAAUAUAAGUAUAUUAAGUCUUGGCAUGCUUGCUCAGUCUCUCUCUCUCUCCCAUUCCUCCCCGCUCCCCUCUCUCUUUCCCAACAGGCUUGGAAAGCAGGCAUCACCAUGCCUAUUUAACAGUUGGGGUCCCUUGGCCACCAGGUGCUGGAGUAGGAAUCUGAGCCCGGACAUGCCUGAUCUGUAAAUUUUGUGUUUUCCCCACUGUGCUGGGCAGAUCACAGCUAUCAGCGCCAAAUUCAUAGAAGGGGCGCCCCCUGUGGUCAAUUGAGGGAUUUGUGUUUGAGGUAGAUCUCAAGAAGGAAUGGGUGGGGAACUUAGCCUAGGACAGAGCAGAAAGGAGCCCUCACUCCCCAAGCACCAACGGCCUCAGUCCUUCCUGCUGACUCCAGCCUCUAGCUCUCACCCAGACUAUCUGCAUCCUUCUCUCCACCACGCUCCUUUGGAACCUGCGUAAAACACAGAUUAAAGGAAUUCCGCCUUACUUCCCUUUCCGCAUUAUGACCAAAUGGUUUUACACUAUCAUUGAACAGUUUAGUACAAAACAUGCCACCUUUUAAUCUAUUCAUUCAUUUAACAAAUACUUUGGAGUGUUUACCAUGUGCCAAGUGCUGUUCUAAUAGACAUAAGCUGUGAGGUUAUGCUUAUCUGAUUCUCACAGCAACAGCUUUCGAGAUAUGAAUUGGUAUACUCAUUUGACAGAUGAGGAAAUUGAAUUCAUGUAGUGAGAAAGGAAGAGCUGCAAUUCAGGGUUACUGGUUUCUCCUGCACUAAGCACUGAGCCACACUAGAAGAGAAGGCAUGAGGAAGACAAAAGUGAGAAGGUACGAGAGAAGAUAUUAAGUAGAGGUCUAUUAGUUCCUCUUAAAACUAUUUAUGAAAGAGGCGGAUGGGGUAGUGGAUGGGAAAGACAGAUGGAUUCAUGUUCUUCACUCCAGGUUUCCCCCCAUUCCCUUCCCUUUUAAAUGCCUGCUCAUUUUUUGGCUACCUUUCAAGCUCUAGGAAAUACUCUGGAAUUCCAGGCUGGGAGGGGUUUCCUUUGCAGAUCUGGCUAUUGUAACUUUACAAGAAAUUGCUCAAUACUUCCUCUCACCAGUUACAAACCACGGUUUUCUGAAUGAACUUUAUGUUCAUUAAACAGUUAACCCUUCAGCUUUCUGACUCACAUUUUUCAUGUUAUUAAUCAGCUCUUAGAGUAAGGUAAAAUCUAGAACAGACUUUAUAUACACCCUCCCUCCCACACACAUAUACAUACAUAAUACAAACACAGACCACACAUGUCCACAUCCUUAUGCGCAAACACUAAGAAACACACGCAUACACAAACAUACAUGUACACAAAAUUAAAUACAUAGCUAUGGCACUUUCACUAUACAUGUAAACACCCUUACACACAUACAAAUGUACAUGCGCGUGUGCGCACACACAUAUGGAAUUAGCUUUUUCUCUUUGUGGGAGGAGGGAAAUGAAAAGACCCAAAACAUUCAGAUUCCCAAAUGGACACGUAAGAACCCCGUCAUGGAAAUAGGUCUGGGUUUUUUUCUCUUUUGAGGGAAGCAGGGCGUUUCUGGUUACUGUCGCCAUUGCCAUUGUGCCCCUGCUUACCAUCCCCCUGCACCGCCCCCCCGGCCCCCGCCCGCCACUGCUAGGGUUUACAGGUCAUCCCUGGAUUAAAUAAGUGAUAUUGUGUUUUUUUUUCUUUGACACAAAGUAAAAUUAUAAUUAAUAUUGAAUAAAGUAAAAAUGAACUCCUGAGUUCCAGUCCCUUAUGUAACACACCUGGUUUGUGGCAGGCACUCAGGAAAUAUUAGUUGCAUGAACGAAGGCUGCAUUUUCAUUAGAACAACAUGCAGUUCAACCCCUUCAUGUUUCAAUGAGGGUUCAGAUACCCAGAGGGCUAUGCUAUCAUCCUGGAGCCCACUCUGCUAACAAUUAGCAGAACGGAAGCCUUAAUUUCCAGAUUCUAGUGAACUUGAUGAGUCAAGACUAUUGCAAUUGGAAAUCUGUUCUCCUCUGCUGCUGCAUUCCCUGCUUAAUACUCAAGCCAGAAACCAGGAAGGCUGUGGCUUGCCUUUUCACUUCUUGUGUCCUGUUUAAGAAAUAUCUGCUAUCCCAAGCAUCUGGCAUCUUUCUUGACAUAUGUAGCAGUUGCUUUUUGACAGCUUGCUUCUUCAGUGAAUGAAUAAAUUAAUAAAGAGAAAUGUGAUGUUCAGUGAUCCAUUUUGCAGAUUGCAAACUCCUAGAGAAGGGCUCAACAGUGAGUGCUGAGGCUGCACAGAGGAGGAAGGCAGCACAAUGAUGGAAGGCUUCCUAAAGAGAUAACACUAACAAAGUUGACCUUAGAAUUGGAGUGCCUGGGUUAGAACCCUGCUGGUACCACCUGCUUACUGCAUGCUUCUGAUGUGAGUUCAGGAGAAGACACUGGCAAGGACAGCAAAGAACAGGAGAACACUCUAGCUUCCCUGAUAGCAUUCAAGGUGCUGUCCAAAGCUCUUGAGUUUCUGCUUUCAAGUGACCCUCAGAAAUUCCUCCAUUCACUGCAGAGGUUCUGUUUCUCCUUGCUUUGUUCUGACUUUACGGCAGAACUAAGCUAAUGAGUUAGUUACUAUGGGUUAUCACUUGGAUUUGAAGAACCAUCAUUUCUAGGCAUUGCUGCUCAGAGUGGGUCUGCCCUCAGGGGAAGCUGUCUAACCAGAGCCUAACCCACUAGGGUUUUAUCAGAACCUAACUGACCUGAGGAAAAGAAAUACUCAACUCCAGCAAGCUCCAGCCUUCCAAAUGGAGGAGGAGAAAACCCAACUCCAGCCCACUUCAGCUAUCUUGUCCCACAUAAAGGGGAAGUGGAAGAAACCUGAGAAGCAGGCAUGAAGUUCACAGUCCAGAGGUACAGACACAUCAGAGUUCAGUAUCUGAUGAAUUAGAUGCAAAAACCUCAACAAAGUAUUAGCAAAUUGAAUUCAACAAUGUAUGAAAAUUAUUACAUGCCAUGACUAAUUGGAAUUUAUCUCAGGUAUACAAGCCACGCUGAACAUCUGAAAAUCAAUUCAUGUGAUCCAUCACAUUAGCAGACUCAAGAAAAAAAACCACAUUAUCAUAUCAGUAGAUGUAGAAAAAAAAAAUUAACAAAAUCCAGCACCCAUUCACAAUGAAAAUGCCCAGUAAAUUAGAAAUAGAAGGUAACUUCCUCAAAUUGAUAAGGAAUAUCUCUAAAAACCUACAACUAAAAUCAUACUUAAUGGUAGAAAACUAGAAGCCUUCCCAGUAAGAGUAAGAACAAGUCAAAGAUGUAUGCUCUCACCAAUGCUUUUCAACAUCAUAUUGGAAGUCCUAGCUAGUGCAAUAAGCAAAA
rnacentral:lncRNA from 10 species